rnacentral:rRNA from 1 species
GACGAACGCUGGCGGCGCGCUUAACACAUGCAAGUCGAACGGAAAGGCCUGCUUUCCCUUGUGGAUUGCGGGUACUCGUGUGGCGAACGUGUGCGUAACGCGUUAGUGAUCUGCCUCCAACUUGGGUAUAAGCCUUGGUAACUGGGUCUAAUUCCCGAUAGGACUGCAUGUUGGUUCAUGUGGUGGAAGACGAUUUUCUAUUGGUUUGGGAUGAGCUCGCGGCCUAUCUGCUUGUUGGUGGGGUAAUGGCCUACCAAGGCGGCUACGGGGAGCCUGCCGGGGAGGGUGUACCGCAACAUGGGGACGAGGUUACGACCAAGAUCCCAAGGGGAGGAAGCAGUGGGGAAUAUUGAAAAAGGGGGGGAAGCCGGAUGAACCGAGGCGGGGUGGGGGAUGACGGCCUACGGGUUGUAAACUCCUUUCGACCGCGAGGAAGCAACGUGGUUGGAAGGGUGGUGACGGUAGUGGAAGAAGAAGCACCGGCUAACUACGUG